CCCUGCAUCCAAGUUCUUGUCCUGUGCCACAAAACCCCCAAAGAGACCACCACAACUCCGGUACAAGAACACGAGAGUCUUUAUUUGAGUUCGAGCUCCUGCCACAAACCACCCCAACUCAGCAGGGGCAAUCACACUUCACAGCGUGGGCGAUGAGACGGAGUUAAUAGUGAAUGGAUUUAUCUUUCCAUGGGUGUGGUCAGCCAACUACAGCCAAAGGGGUAAAAACAAUGCUGAGGGAAGCCUACUCAACCGGGUGAUUAUCUGGAAGGCAAUGACAUCAACUCUACCUAAGAAGAGUAGUGCAAAAAACGGAUGGCAUGGGGACAAUAAAAUUCCACAGGUCACGGGGACACUUACUACCACGGACUAAACCUGGGUCAGGGUUUGAGAGAGAGCAAGCUGAAAAGAUGGAAGUGUGGGAGGAUCAUGAGAAGUGGGAGUUGCUUUUUCUCAGCCUUUAAAAAGAUGUCUCAGCUAAAGGGAUCUUCAACCCUAUAGGUGGAACAACAUUAUGAACUAACCAGUACCCCUGAGCUCUUGACUCUAGC
rnacentral:lncRNA from 1 species